rnacentral:rRNA from 1 species
CCCGAAAGCCUGUCUCAGUUCGGAUUGGAGUCUGCAACCCGACUCCAUGAAGCUGGAUUCGCUAGUAAUCGCGCAUCAGCCACGGCGCGGUGAAUACGUUCCCGGGCCUUGUACACACCGCCCCGUCAAGCCAUGGAAGCCGGGGGUGCCUGAAGUGCGCUGCCGCAAGGAGCGCCCUAGGGGUAAAACCGGUGACUGGGGCUAAGUCGUAACAAGGUAAC